rnacentral:lncRNA from 1 species
AAAUUUAAAAUCACUUAAUGAAAUAAUUUUAUUUUGUUAAAAAGUUAUUUUGGGAUUUGGGGGCUAUGCUCUCAUUUUUUUUUCUUGAGUUUGGCUGAAAGACUGAUAUCUACAUACUGUAAAUAGGAAAAUAUUGAAAAUGUAUUAUUAGGAAUCUUCAUGAAUGAUGGUUUAGCAUUUUGAAAUAGUUCCUGUAAUAUUUUUAAAGUUUUAAAAAUUAUUAAAAGAUAUUGACAAGAUCUGCCCUCAAAAUCAUUUAAACUCAUGAUAAUUUAAACUUUCAGGCAAUAUUUCAGUAUUGAAAGGAUCAAGCUUCCCUGACAUCUUUCAGUAUUCUCUAACACCCUCAAUUUGUUUACUUCUUUGUAUCAAAUAACCAUCAAAGCAAUUACCAAAUCACAUAGCCUUGAAGCAACUUAGUGAAGUAAUUUAACAUCUUUUUGUAUCAUAGACAGAAGCCAAUUUUCAUCAGAGCCUAAAAUCAAUCGUGUCUUUGUAACUGUUCCACUACCAUCCUAUCGUAGAAUAAACUACAGGAUACAGAUGAUCAAGUGCAAGAAGCAGUAUUUCAGAACAUCUCCAUCUGGUCCUCCUCCACAAGGCCUUAGGUAUCUUUCAGGUGGAAUAUUCUUCCUCAACACCUAGUGUAAAUAGAUGAACCCUAGGAUAUCCCAGUACUACCGUUUGUGACUGAGGUUUCUCUGAUGCUGGCUCCAUCUAACUUUUUAUGUAGCUGGAGAUGGAAUGAAAAAACCAAAACAUGU